CCUACGGGUGGCAGCAGUAGGGAAUAUUGCUCAAUGGGGGAAACCCUGAAGCAGCAACGCCGCGUGGAGGAUGAAGGUUUUCGGAUUGUAAACUCCUUUUUUUAGAGAAGAUAAUGACGGGACUUAACGAAUAAGCACCGGCUAACUCCGUGCCAGCAGCCGCGGUAAUACGGAGGGUGCAAGCGUUACUCGGAAUCACUGGGCGUAAAGAGCGCGUAGGCGGGCUAGCAAGUCAGAUGUGAAAUCCUAUGGUUUAACCAUAGAACGGCAUUUGAAACUGGUAUUCUAGAGUAUGGGAGAGGUAGGUGGAAUGCGUGGUGUAGGGGUGAAAUGCGUAGAGAUCAAGAGGAAUACUCAUUGCGAAGGCGACCUGCUAGAACAUAACUGACGCUGAUGCGCGAAAGCGUGGGGAGCAAACAGGAUUAGAUACCCCGGUAGUC
rnacentral:rRNA from 1 species